UUCUGUCAGUGAUGUUUAUCUUUCAUACCUACAUUGUUUGACUUGAGGAGUGAGAAAAAAACCAACACUGAGGCAGAU